AUUGAACGCUGGCGGCAGGCCUAACACAUGCAAGUCGAGCGAGCGGCGGACGGGUGAGUAAUGUAUGGGAAACUGCCUGAUGGAGGGGGAUAGCUUAUGGAAACGGUAGCUAAUACAGCAUACCAUCAGAAGUGGCCGGGUGGGAUUAGCUAGAGGGUGGGGUAACGGUUCACCUAGGCGACGCUCCCUAGCUGGUCUGAGAGGAUGACCAGCUACACUGGAACUGAGACACGGUCCAGACUCCUACGGUAGGCAGCAGUGGGGAAUAGAGCACAAUGGGCUCAAGCCUGAUGCAGCCAUGCCGCGUGUGGGAAGAAGUCCUGCGGGUUGUAAAGCACUUUCAGCGGGGAGGCGUUACCCUCAGAAGAAGCACCGGCUAACUCCGUGCCAGCAGCCGCGGUAAUAC
rnacentral:rRNA from 1 species